UGCAGUCGAGCGGUAGAGAGAAGCUUGCUUCUCUUGAGAGCGGCGGACGGGUGAGUAAUGCCUAGGAAUCUGCCUGGUAGUGGGGGAUAACGUUCGGAAACGGACGCUAAUACCGCAUACGUCCUACGGGAGAAAGCAGGGGACCUUCGGGCCUUGCGCUAUCAGAUGAGCCUAGGUCGGAUUAGCUAGUUGGUGAGGUAAUGGCUCACCAAGGCGACGAUCCGUAACUGGUCUGAGAGGAUGAUCAGUCACACUGGAACUGAGACACGGUCCAGACUCCUACGGGAGGCAGCAGUGGGGAAUAUUGGACAAUGGGCGAAAGCCUGAUCCAGCCAUGCCGCGUGUGUGAAGAAGGUCUUCGGAUUGUAAAGCACUUUAAGUUGGGAGGAAGGGCAGUUGCCUAAUACGUAACUGUUUUGACGUUACCGACAGAAUAAGCACCGGCUAACUCUGUGCCAGCAGCCGCGGUAAUACAGAGGGUGCAAGCGUUAAUCGGAAUUACUGGGCGUAAAGCGCGCGUAGGUGGUUUGUUAAGUUGGAUGCGAAAUCCCCGGGCUCAACCUGGGAACUGCAUUCAAAACUGACUGACUAGAGUAUGGUAGAG
rnacentral:rRNA from 1 species